rnacentral:rRNA from 1 species
GAUGAACGCUGGCGGCGUGCCUAAUACAUGCAAGUCGAGCGAACGGACGAGAAGCUUGCUUCUCUGAUGUUAGCGGCGGACGGGUGAGUAACACGUGGAUAACCUACCUAUAAGACUGGGAUAACUUCGGGAAACCGGAGCUAAUACCGGAUGAUAUUUUGAACCGCAUGGUUCAAAAGUGAAAGACGGUCUUGCUGUCACUUAUAGAUGGAUCCGCGCUGCAUUAGCUAGUUGGUAAGGUAACGGCUUACCAAGGCAACGAUGCAUAGCCGACCUGAGAGGGGGAUCGGCCACACUGGAACUGAGACACGGUCCAGACUCCUACGGGAGGCAGCAGUAGGGAAUCUGCCGCAAUGGGCGAAAGCCUGACGGAGCAACGCCGCGUGAGUGAUGAAGGUCUUCGGAUCGUAAAACUCUGUUAUUAGGGAAGAACAGAUGUGUAAGUAACUGUGCACAUCUUGACGGUACCUAAUCAGAAAGCCACGGCUAACUACGUG